rnacentral:lncRNA from 1 species
GGGGUAACAAAAAGAAUGUGAGAACCAGAAAUCUGGGUUAUUUUUCCUGCGGAUACAAAAGAGGGCUUGGAGAGGGACGCAGGAAGGUGGCGAGAAGAACCGCAGGGCUUGGUACAGGGCAGUGGGGUAGGAGAACAAGUCUCUGGCCCUUUGCAUCCCUGGGAAGAGACUGCGAGGUAACCUACAGUUUUGAUGAGAGACAGAAUGAAGUAGUAUAUAGAGAGCUGGACUCGAAGCCAGGCUCUCAGACUCUGAUUAUGUCAAGCACGACUCAUACUUGUGGAAUAGGUAUCCCAGAAGAAACCCAUGACUGUUGGUUAGUACUGACCAACUAAGUCAAGUUUGCUGCUUGGAGGAGAAUAUGGAAGACCGAUCUAUAAAGUAUUUUCACUGGCAUUUAAUUAGCCCUUCAUCUGCCAACCACAUCUACAGAGAGCUUUAAAGUUGUAGUUACCACAAAAUAACCACAUGAGGUUGAUGGUACAUUGUUAGGAUCUUUUUGCAGAUGAUGAAACUCAGAUUCCAAAACAUGAAGUGACUUGCCCGUGGUCGCAUAUGCAGUAAAUGACAGAGGUGGUGAACCUAGGUCUUUUCUGAUGACAAGGCCAGAGUUCCAUCUACUAUAUCAUGUUGCCCUUAAACAAAAUGGCAGAAAGUCAGUUAGCUGGAAGAAGAGAGAAUAGCCAAGAGUAUGCCCAGUAGGGCCUGUAGCCCUGACAGAGCAGGAACAGUAGGUUAGCUGGGAGGAUAGAGAGCCAAUGGGACAUGGAGAAGGAUUUGUGGAAAGAGUUGGCUUCACGUCAAGUCAGCAGGCAUUAAUAAGUGACUCCUAUAUGCCAGGCACCAUAACAAGCACAGAGGAUACAAAGAAAGGCAGAAAUAGUACCUGCCCUUGAGAAGUUUAC